rnacentral:rRNA from 1 species
UUCUGGUUGAUCCCGCCGGAGGUUACUGCUAUCGAGGUUCGACUAAGCCAUGCGAGUCGAAUGUAGCAAUACAUGGCGUACUGCUCAGUAACACGUGGACAACCUACCCUUAGGUCGGGGAUAAACCCGGGAAACUGGGUAUAAUACCCGAUAGUCCUCGGAUGCUGGAAUGCACCGAGGUCUAAAGCUCCGGCGCCUAAGGAUGGGUCUGCGGCCUAUCAGGUAGUAGUGGGUGUAGCGUACCUACUAGCCUACGACGGGUACGGGUUGUGAGAGCAAGAGCCCGGAGAUGGAUUCUGAGACACGAAUCCAGGCCCUACGGGGUGCAGCAGGCGCGAAAACUUUACAAUGCUGGAAACAGCGAUAAGGGAACCUCGAGUGCCAGGUUACAAAUCUGGCUGUCGUGAUGCCUAAAAAGCAUUGCAUAGCAAGGGCCGGGCAAGACCGGUGCCAGCCGCCGCGGAAACACCGGCGGCUCGAGUGGUAACCGCUAUUAUUGGGUCUAAAGGGUCUGUAGCCGGCCGGAUAAGUCUUUUGGGAAAUCUAGCAGCUUAACUGUCAGGCUUUCAGAGGAUACUGUCUGGCUCGAGGCCGGGAGAGGUGAGAGGUACUCAGGGGUAGGGGGAA